rnacentral:rRNA from 1 species
CAGCCGCCGCGGUAAUACGAAGGGGGCUAGCGUUGUUCGGAUUUACUGGGCGUAAAGGGUGCGUAGGCGGAUUGUUAAGUCAGGGGUGAAAUCCCGAGGCUCAACCUCGGAACUGCCUUUGAUACUGGCGAUCUUGAGUCCGGGAGAGGUGAGUGGAACUGCGAGUGUAGAGGUGAAAUUCGUAGAUAUUCGCAAGAACACCGGUGGCGAAGGCGGCUCACUGGCCCGGAACUGACGCUGAGGCACGAAAGCGUGGGGAGCAAACAGGAUUAGAUACCCGAGUAGUCCCUGUCUCUUAUAC